rfam:Glycine soja cultivar W05 scaffold978_64, whole genome shotgun sequence.
GUGUCAGGUUACAUUGAUUGUCAUGUGUCUGAUUCGAUUGAACAUUGACAACAACAAUACAUUUUCAUCGUCCAAUCAGAACGCGACACGUGAUAGUCAACGUUU